rnacentral:rRNA from 1 species
AUGUGGGUAGCAAGAUUGUGGAGUGUGUUGCAGAAGAGACUACUCUUGACAUUUGAUUCCGAUAUUGAUAAACCCAAUGAAUGGCCAAAAAUUGGUUCCUUGUUGAAAGAGGCAUCAGAACUUUUUGCUAAUGAUUUUGGUAUGGCAAUUAUCUGGAUGCAUGCAGUUACUGAGUUGCUUUUGAAAAAAUGUGAAUCUUCCCAUUUGGAUAUAGAGGUUCAUGGUACAAGUGAAUUCGGUUUGAUGAUUUUGGUAUGUCGGAAGCUAUCCAAGUACAUAAUGUACCUUUUCGUUCACCACCCUUCCAUGCUGCCGCUCUCUAUCAGCCCAGCACCUACCCUGGCUCAGGCUCACGAAGUAUAUGAUGAUUUCACCAAGGAUAGUGUUGAGUUGGAGGUAAGCAAGGAAACAGUGGAGGAGGUAGCACACAUGUGGACGCGGCUACUUGUUUACGCUGCUGGCAAGUCCAAGGCGGCGCCGCAUGUUGCGCUGCUGAGCAGAGGAGGAGAGCUCAUCACAUUCGCAUGGCUAAUCAUGGCCCACUGCGGGUUUGGGGAUACUCGCGUUAGAAGACUUCAACUUACCAAUAUUGAUGCCCAAGUAGUGAGAGAAUUAGAUUUUACACCGCGACACCUCUUCAAUCUUCCCAUGGAAGAUCAGAUAUCAGACGCUGCUAAUCGCAGGUCAAAAUUGGAUGAUGAGAACGCGAAUGGGAUGACGACUAAGUCGGAUCGCUUCGUGGUUGGUAGCCGUAGCUUUCCAUGA